rnacentral:misc_RNA from 1 species
GGAAGGAUCAUUGAAUCCAUCCACAUCCACUCGCGAACUAUACCCGUACCCCUCCUGCUGGCUUUCGGGCCACUUGAGCUGGCGUGCUCUCGGGCCGCUGGGGCCUCGCUCUCUAUAGAGCGGGGUCGGCUAAUUUUUCCACACACCCAACCAAACUGUCUGUCUGAAGAUGAUUCGAGCCGGCCUCGCCGAUCGAUUAACAAAGACAACUCUCAACAACGGAUAUCUUGGCUCUCGCAACGAUGAAGAACGCAGCGAAAUGCGAUACGUAGUGUGAAUUGCAGAAUUCCGUGAAUCAUCGAAUCUUUGAACGCAUAUUGCGGUCGAGGCUUCGGCCGAGACCAUGUCUGCCUCAGCGUCGGUGUGAACCCUCAUCCUCCCUCACGGGUUUGGAUGGACCUGGCCUCCUCAGCCCUUGGGCUGGGCUGGCUGAAAUUCGGAGGUCAGCGCUUGGGCCUGUAUGGCAACAGCAAGGUAGGUAGUUUACUACUCCAGCUGGUGCUUUGGGCACUCGUGCGGACCCGCAGGAAUUCUCACCCUUUCGACCUGAGAUCAGGCAAGGCUACCCGCUGAACUUAAGCAUAUCAAUAAGCGGAGGAAAAGAAACUAACCAGGAUUCCCUUAGUAACGGCGAGCGAAACGGGAAAAGUCCAACUUGAAAAUCUCCAGCUUUCAGCUGGCGAAUUGUAGUCUAGAGAAGUGUUCUCUGUGGCCACCUUUGCCCAAAUUCCCUGGAACGGGAUGUCAGAGAGGGUGAGAGCCCCGUCGGCAGAGUGUUGGUCGCUCCACGAGAUGCUUUCGCAGAGUCGGGUUGUUUGGGAAUGCAGCCCUAAUUUGGUGGUAAGUCCCAUCUAAGACUAAAUACUGGCGAGAGACCGAUAGCGAACAAGUACCGUGAGGGAAAGAUGAAAAGAACUUUGAAAAGAGAGUUAAAAAGUGCUUGAAAUUGUUGAGGGGGAAGCCAUUGGCGGCUGUGGGUGCACCUAGGCUCAAAGUGUCUCAACGGACACCUGAAAGUGCUAGGAGCUGGUCAGCAUGGGCUACUCUUGCGAGAUAAACCUUUCUUUGUCGAAAGCCUAUGUCGCGGGGGUGGCCGAGGAACGAAGGGCGCUCUGCCUCCGAGCUGCGCCCUCAAGAUGCUGGCGGAAGGCUGCCAAUGGGCCCGUCUUGAAACACGGACCAAGGAGUCUAACAUGUACGCGAGUUGGUGGGUGGAAAACCCAUAAGCGCAAGUAACCUGACUGGUGGGAUGGCCUGUGCCUGCACCAUCGACCGACCAUGAUCUUCUGUGAAAGGUUCGAGUACGAGCGUACCUGUUGGGACCCGAAAGAUGGUGAACUAUGCCUGAGCAGGGCGAAGCCAGAGGAAACUCUGGUGGAGGCUCGUAGAUGUGCUGACGUGCAAAUCGCUUUUCGGACUUGGGUAUAGGGGCGAAAGACUAAUCGAACUAUCUAGUAGCUGGUUCCCUC